AUGGGACUGAUUGCGUCGCUCUGCUUCGUUCUCCAGGGCAGCAAGAAGAUCGUGGGCGUGUUGUACAAGGGCGGCGAGCACGCGGCGCAGAACCCCGGCUUCGUGGGCUGGGUGGAGAACGCGCUGGGCAUCCGCGGCUGGCUCGAGUCGCUGGGCCACCGGUACGUCGUCACCGACGACAAGGACGGCCCCGACUGCGGUCAGUUUGCUUUGAUCAACAACACACAUCACUUCACUUCCAUUACGUUAACAAGUGUCACGCUAACGGAUCAUGCAUGUCAUCCUGGGCGCGCGCGAGCAGAGCUGGAGAAGCACAUCGGGGACGCGCACGUGCUCGUCACCACGCCGUUCCACCCGGCGUACGUGGGCGCGGACCGGAUCGGCCGCGCCAACAACCUGGAGCUGCUCCUCACGGCGGGGAUCGGCUCCGACCACAGCGACCUGCCGGCGCCGAGGUCACGGGCAGCAACACCGUGUCGGGCCGUCGGCGGGGAGUGGGACCUGGCCGCCGUCGCGCACCGGGCCUACGACCUGGAGGGCAAGACGGUGGGCACCGUCGGCGCCGGCCGCAUCGGGAGGCUGCUGCUCCAGCGGCUCAAGCCCUUCGGCUGCACCCUGCUCUACCACGACCGGCUCCGCGUCGACGCCGCGCUGGAGGAGGAGCUCGGCGCCGCCUUCGAGGAGGAGGUCGACGCCAUGCUGCCCAAGUGCGACGUCGUCGUGCUCAACAUACCGCUCACCGACAAGACAAAGGGCAUGUUCGACAAGGAGAAGAUCGCCAAGAUGAAGAGAGGCGUCAUCAUCGUGAACAACGCGCUUGGCGCCAUCAUGGACACGCAGGCGGUGGCAGACGCUUGCAAAAGCGGGCACAUCGCCGGAUACGGCGGCGACGUGUGGUACCCGCAGCCGCCGCCCAAGGACCACCCGUGGAGGUACAUGCCCAACAACGCCAUGACACCUCACAUUUCCGGCACCACCAUCGACGCCCAGCUGAGAUACGCGGCCGGCGUGAAGGACAUGCUGGAGAGGUACUUCAAGGGGCAGGACUUCCCGGAGCCCAACUACAUUGUCAAGGAAGGCAAGCUCGCCAGCCAGUACCAGUGA
rnacentral:rRNA from 1 species